rnacentral:rRNA from 1 species
UGUAAGCGUAUACCAAAGUUGUUGCAGUUAAAACGCUCGUAGUCGGAAUUUGGCAGUUCCGGAUGUGUGCACGUCGUGUGCGCACUUCGCGGGGAUUGCUUUUGUGGUCUUGCGUAGGAUGAGGCACUUUUAUUAGUGAACGUCCUCACGCAACCACUUUUUACUGUGAGAAAAUCAGAGUGCUCAAAGCAGGCAUUUGCCGUGAAUGUAUUAGCAUGGAAUAAUAGAAUAGGACUUGGUUCUAUUUUGUUGGUUUGUUGGGACUGAGUAAUGAUUAAGAGGGACAGUUGGGGGCAUUUGUAUUUCGGUGCUAGAGGUGAAAUUCUUAGAUUACCGAAAGUCAAACUGCCGCGAAAGCGUCUGCCAAGGAUGUUUUCAUUGA